rnacentral:rRNA from 1 species
CCAGCAGCCGCGGUAAUACGGAGGGUUCAAGCGUUAAUCGGAUUCAUUGGGCGUAAGGGCGCGUAGACGGGAGAGAAAGUUGGAUGUGAAAGCUCGGGGCUCAACCCCGAACCCGCAUCCAAAACUCCUUUCCUAGAGGAUGAGCGGAGAAAAGGGAAUUCCACGUGUAGCGGUGAAAUGCGUAGAUAUGUGGAAGAACACCGGUGGCGAAGGCGCUUUUCUAGCUUAUUCCUGACGUUGAGGCGCGAAAGCGGGGGUAGCAAACAGGAUUAGAUACCCUGGUAGUCCUCGCCGUAAACGAUGUACACUUGAUGUAGUUGGUCUCAACCCCAACUGUGUCGUAGCUAACGCGAUAAGUGUACCGCCUGAGGAGUACGCUCGCAAGGGUGAAACUCAAAAGAAUUGACGGGGGCCCGCACAAGCAGUGGAGUAUGCGGUUUAAUUCGAUGCAACGCGAAGAACCUUAUCCAGACUUGACAUGUAUCGGACAGUGGCAGAGAUGUCAUCUUCCGUAAGGACUGAUACACAGGUGCUGCAUGGCUGUCGUCAGCUCGUGCCGUGAGGUGUUGGGUUGAGUCCCGCAACGAGCGCAACCCUUAUCAUUAGUUGCCAGCAUUUCGGAUGGGAACUCUAAUGAGACUGCCUGGGUUAACCAGGAGGAAGGUGAGGAUGACGUCAAGUCAGCAUGGCCCUUAUGUCUGGGGCGACACGCGUGCUACAAUGGCCAGUACAGAAGGCAGCAAUACCGUGAGGUGGAGCAAAUCCCAAAAACUGGCCCCAGUUCGGAUUGUAGUCUGCAACUCGACUACAUGAAGUUGGAAUUGCUAGUAAUGGCGCGUCAGCCAUAGCGCCGUGAAUACGUUCCCGGGCCUUGUACACACCGCCCGUCACAUCAUGGAAGUUGGUUUUGCCCGAAGUCGCUGACUCAACCGCAAGGGGAGAGGCGCCGAAGGUGAGGCUGAUGACUGGGAUGAAGUCGUAACAAGGUAGCCGAU